rnacentral:sRNA from 1 species
AUGCCAAGGGUACGAAAUAAAAUUCAAGAAGAACAAUCCUUCUCUACAAGUUUGAAAUGUUCAAAGGAAAUCUGUAAUACUGGCGGUGUAAGUAGGCAUAUUUUGAGGCAUCAAGACUGCAGGCGUUUCUUGCCUUUGCGAGUAAACUUCUGCAAAAAAUGUUUACAAUUUGUACAUAAUAAGAAGAAAAAGCAGCAAUCUGAAGAUAAGGAAAAUUCAACCGUCAAACUGUCAAAAGAGGAAAUUUUGGAACAAUUAAAGUCUAUUGCUCCUAAUCUUCAUGAUAACCAAUUAACACUUAUACAGUCACAAAUAGUAGCAUCUAAUAUGAAAAGUAAGAAGGAGAUGAGGUGGGAUAAAGAUGUCAUAUGUAUGGCUUUAAGUUUGUUCAAUAGGAAUCCUGCAGCUUACAGGGACAUAACUCAAAACAGUUGGUUAAACUUGCCUUCUGAACAGUUAAUAAAGUUAUAUAAAAAUGCUGUUCAACAAAAGCCUGGAAUUGUACCAGAUAUGAUGCUGUGGAUGUCUAAUGAGGCCAAACGACAAAAACUGGUGAAUGAAGGAUACUAUGGUGGCAUCAUUCUGGACGAAAUGGCCAUUCAGGAAGAUGUACAAAUAGUCCACACUAAGAUGGACACAAAAAUAUUUGGAUUAUCAGAUAGUGGACAGGAUGUGAGAAGAAUGCAAGCUUUAAAUGACGGAAAAAUAGAAUGCCAAUUAGCAAACCAUGUACAGCAGUUCAUGUUCAGUGGUUUAUCUGGUUUUAGGUGGCCUUUUGCCAACUUUCCUAAUGUACAGGCUCCACCUGGAGAAAUAUUUGUCACUACAUGGAGCUGUAUUGACGAGUUGUAUAAAUGGGGUUUCAAACCGAUCUAUUGCUGUAUGGAUGGUUCCGCCAAAGCAGGGCAUUUUUAA